rnacentral:tRNA from 1 species
GGGCGAUUAGCUCAGUUGGUAGAGCACUGUGUUCACAUCGCAGGGGUCGCAGGUUCGAAUCCUGCAUCGCCCACCA